UAGCUGUCCUCUUCUACUCAAUGCAUCAGCAACCUUGUUUUCUGCACCAGAUUUGUGUUUGAUAACGAAUGAGUAUUCUUGCAAGAAAGAAAUCCAUUUCCCAUGCCGAUAAUUCAUCUUCUUUUGUGAGUUGAUGUACUUGAGGGCUUCAUGAUCUGAAAAUAGAAUAAACUCCUUUGAUAUGAGAUAAUGACGCCAAUAUCGCAAAGCUUGAACCACCGCAUAAAAUUCUUUGUCAUAAGUAGAAUACUUUUGCUUAGCUUCAUUGAAUUUCUCACUGAAAAAUGCAAUAGGAUGCCCUUCUUGACUAAGUAUGCCACCAAUUCCCACAUUAGAUGCAUCACAUGCUACCUUAAAAACCUUCGAAAAAUCUGGUAGUCGAAGAAUCGGUGCUUCAGUCAAUCUUUUCUUAACCUCUUCCAAAGCUUUUGUUGCUGUUUUGGCCCAAAGAAAUUGGUUUUUCUUCAUACAAUUAGUUAUUGGAGCCAUAAUCGAGCUGAAAUUUUGAAUAAAUCUUCAAUAAAAUGUAUCUAAUCCAUGAAAGCUUCGUACCUCUUGCAAUGAACUAGGAAUUGGCCACUCUAGGAUAGCUUUAAUCUUCAAAGGAUCCAUUUCCAGUCCUCUUGACGAAACAACAUAACCCAAGAAUACCACUGAUGAUGUCAUAAAACAACAUUUCUUCAUAUUUAUGUAGAGCUUCUCUUGUCGAAGAACUCUCAUAACUUGCUGCAAAUGUGAAAGAUGGUCUUCCCUGCUCUUGCUAUAUAUCAAUAUAUCAUCAAAAUAUACUACCAAAAAUUUACCAAAGAAUGGCUGUAGAAUUUGAUUCAUAAACCUCAUAAAUGUACUUGGAGCAUUUGAAAAACCAAAUGGCAUUACUAGCCAUUCAUAAAGACCAUCCUUUGUUUUGAAAGCUGUUUUCCAUUCAUCUCUGGGCCUUAGACGAAUUUGGUGAUAUCCACUUUUUAGAUCCAAUUUUGAAAAUAUACACGAACCAGCCAUCAUGUCCAACAUGUCAUCAAAUCGAGGGAUAGGGAAGCGAUAUUGGAUUGUAAUCUUGUUAAUCGCACAACUAUCAACACACAGUCACCAACUCCCAUCUUUCUUGGGUGUAAGCAAAGCAGGAACAGCAUAAGGACUUGAACUCUCACGGAUGAAUCCCUUAGACAGUAACUCCUCCACUUGCCUCUUAAGCUCCGCAUGCUCGCUAGGAUUCAUAUGAUAUACUAGAAGAUUAGGUAAUUGAGCUCCUGGUACAAGGUCUAUGGCAUGCUGAAUGUUACUUAAAGGAGGUAAUUCACUUGGAAACCCUUCCGGAACAAAAUCUAAAAAAUCAGACAGCAACUUCUGAAUCUCUACUGGAAACGUUUGCUUGCUGGUUGCUGUUUCCUUCUUUGUUUCCUUUGCUAGAACAGCAUAUAUAACUCCAUUUUUCUUACUUUCUCACUCAAAAUUCUUCUUAGUAAGAAUAUGUAGAGACUUUUGUGGAUUGUUAGAAGCCUUACUUGGUUUUUCCACCUUAUAUUUAUCCAUCUCAGCUACCGUCAUAGGCUUCAACACAACCUUCCUAUCUUUGAACAUGAAAUAGUAGGUAUUUCCUCUCCCACAGUGAAACACAUCUCUAUCAUAAAGCUAAGGACGACCAAGAAGAAUAUGUGUUACUUUCAUCGGAAUCACAUCACACCAAAUUGAGUCAUUGUAAACCCCACAUGAAAAAGAAACUAGACAGCGUUGGGUUACCGGAAUUGAAGUACAGUCAAUCCAUGCUACUUUAUAUGGAUGUGGAUGCGGUUCAAUAGGAAGUUUUAAUCAUCCUACCAUAGAUGCCGAAACAACAUUCAUACUACUACCACCAUCAAUGAUAAGUUUUUGUGCUUGAUUUUCACAACACACCAACAUUUGAAAAAUAGAGGUGCGUUUCCAAUCUUCCUUCUCAUCUUUCAGAAUUGAAAGGAUACGUCUAACAACAGCAUUUAAUGAAGUAUCUACUUCAUCUUCUUCCAAGUCAUCAGGAUUAUAAACUCCAUAGUUGAAAUUGUCUUCAUCUUCUUCUCUUUGUUGAUCAGGUUCUUCAUGAUGUUCUACAUCAAGACGUAGGUUUCUUUUAGGAUAAGUAUAUGCCAUAUGACCAGGCUGUCCACAUUUGAAACAUUGGUUGCCUUUUCCUCUAAGUUCAGAAGCAUUAGGAAAAGGUACCUUGGCCUUCAUAGGUUGUUUUGAAGGCUGAUUUCCUAUAACUCUGUUGCUGUGAUUUAUAUCAGAUCUUUUGAAACUUCCAAGAUACUCCUCCAAAUCCAAAGAAACUUGAAAAGCUUGCUCCAAGCUGUAGAUAGGUUGUCUUAGUAGCUCCCUCCUAGUGUCGGACCUCAAACCAGAUUUAAAUCUUGCUAAUGUUUGCCUUGGAUCUUCAAGUUGUUGGCUUCGAGUCUUCAACUCAUCAAACUUCUGCAUAUACUCAGCAACUAACAAAUUACUUUGCUUCAAGUUGAUUGCUUACUCACAUAAUUUAUCAUAGUAAUUGGUAGGCAUGUAUUUUUCCCUUAGCUUAGCUUUCAUCUCUUGCCAAGUACCAAUGGAUGGUAAUCCCAUUCUCCUUAAAUCUCCUUCAACACCCAUCCACCAAAUUUUGGCAAGACCUACUAGCUUCAUCUUAGCGAACCUUACUCUCCGAUCAUCAUCCAUAUCAUACCAAUCAAAAUAUUCUUCAAUGGAAGAAAGCCAGUCAGCAAACUCAGUUGGAUUUACUUUACCUUCGAAAUCUGGUAGUUUAAUCUUUACCCUCUUUGUGAUGUCAUCAAAAGUAUUGUGACGUCCUUGUGUUGAUUGCAAUAUAUCUCUCACCUAAUUAGGUGUCUGUUGGGCUGUAGGGAAAGGCACUGGAGCAAUAGUCUUUGCUAGCAGCUUCUCUUGACUUUUAUCAUCAUUGGCUUCAGGAUUCUCAUCUUGUUCAUUGUUAGUUGAAGAACUGCUAGGUUGAGAUAUUUGGGCUUCAAUAUUACUAACCUGAACAUUAAGAGACUCCACUUGUUUGACCAUACGAAUAAAUAAUUCUUCAAAUUGAUUGUUAGUUAUUCUACCUCUAAAACUCUUUCCAGAUCUCAUAGUCAUGAUUCCUUAAUUCAAAGAAACAAUCUGAUCACCGGAUACUGUUCACGCUACGGGUUACUGUUCACGCCGAAGAAUUACUGUUGACGGAACUGCUUACGCGGCUAGGGUUGGAACCAGGCUCUGAUACCAAACUGAUGUAGGACAGGUAGAGAAAGAAAGAAAAUAGAAAAGAAAUAGAUAGGAUUCUAGUAUCACACUAGAUUGAUUUUAGGAAUCACUCCCAAAAUCCUAGGCAUCACACCUAAGUUUGUUUUGCAUCACACAAAACCAGAGAAAAUAAUCUCAUAAAAUUCUUGUAAUAUUGAUUCAUUCCUCCAAGAAUUACAAAGAACCCUAUCUAUAUUAAAAUCAUCUAAUAAUAUUAGGAAACUAAAAUAAUAGGAAACCUAGUUAAAUAAGGAAACUAAUAACAUUAAGAAACUGAAAAUAAUAGGAAACCUAAUUAAAUAAUAAAAUACUCUAAUUAAAAAUAGGAAACUAAAUUAAUCUACUAAAAUCCUUGAAGAUCCCAAACAAGCCCAUCUUGUCCUAGAUCAUGCCAAAUUAAUGUUUAAGCCUUAGAAUCUGUUUUUCCUCUUUUCUAAUAAGUUUUCAGAGGUUGUUUCCAUGUUGCAUCACUGAGUGCUUGGAAGUAGAGCCUAAUUUCAAUUUUUUUAUUAAGCUUUAUCUCAAUUAUGUUAUAUCAUAUAUGUCUUAUGUGAAAUUAUCUGAGUUCCUCGACAUGUAUUCUUUUUUGUCUUUUUGUCCUAUUGAAUGCAAUAUUUUACCAAGUUUCUCAAUCAUGUGAGUCUUAGCUCCUUCCACUUGGACUUUUUAAUUAAAAUUUUGUGUUUUUUCAUUCAUUUUGCUCGAAAAAAUUCAUCCCAUCAUGCUCAACUUUCCCUCCUCUUUUUCUGUUAGUGCUGCUUCCAACAUCAAAUAAGCUUGAACAUACUGCUUUUGAACCCAUCUGUUACUUUGUAGAAUAGAGUGGCUAACCUGAUGGUGGUACAUAGAAACUUCGCUUUACCAUUCCUCCGCUUUGUCCAUCUUGCUUUGUCCAUGGAUAACAUCCUGCACAAUGUAGUUAUUCCUAGGAAUCCAGAUUCUACAUAUACCAAAUAAUCAUUCUGUCACAACUAAUCAAGUAUUCAUCAUUUAUAUGACGAUUCCAUUAUCUUUAGUCUUUGUUUAAUUAACAUAGUUCCAUUUGUAUUUGAUCUUAAUUUUACAUAGUAAUUUUGGAUAUUCCUCAAUUUUAGACUUUAGAAGCAUGGUCAGUGUAGCUUAUAGGUUAUUCAUGGUUCAGAAUUUUAUAUAUAUAUAUAUAUGUAAAGCUUUGAUAGAGAACCUGUAGUUUGCCCUAAACUUGACUAAAGUAUAAGAGCACAAGUGUUCAUCAAGUAACUAAUUCAUCUGAAUUAAGCAUAACUAGCUCAACCCAACCAUGAGGAAGUAGCCCCAAAAUAACUAUUGCUAGCUUAAGAUUUGGUUUAAGAUUUUUACCACUGAUACAUGAUUAUAUAGCUUUAAGAUUUGGUUUUAGGUAAUCGAAAAACAAUUCAGCUUAUUCGUAUAAUGAACUAGUUGGGCAAUAGAGUAGGCCAUACAAGCUUCUUGAGAGAGAGCAUAAAUGUUUCGACUUUGGAAAAUUGAUUUUGAUAUGAUGUCUGCAUGAAUCAUCUUAUUCUAAAAUUACACAAAAUAAACAGGGCUUAGCAAUAGAAGUCGUCAUUCAGGUUUACAUAUUAUAUGUAAAAGGAUAGAGAAAGAGAGCUAGUUAGGUUAGCUUGAUCUAUAGUGUCAAGAAAUACAUAAAAAAUAAAAAAUAAAAAAAAAUAAAGAAAAAGAUUAUUGAAACUAAACACCACUAUUACCCCAGUGCUUAUUAUUGUUUUCUAUGCAAGCUAGACAAAUGAUGAUUGUUUAGCAAUUUACUUUUUGUAUAUGUCCGAUAUGAAACCAAAGGUGGGGCCAAAAGUAUAUCCAUGAAGAGUUCCAAAAUGAAACUUUUGUAUGCUAAGAACAGAGUCGAACGUGAAUUUAGUGAAGCUAGUUUUGUCUCUUUUCCAUUUGCUUUUGCUCUACCAAAAACCAUGAGUUACUGUCUUAUAUAAUAUCCAUUGCAGGGCUUCCUUUGUUGAAACAACAGUCAUCACAAUUUUAAAUAGAAUAACUUUGCUGUCACAUUAGGUGUUAAAAUUAUUUUUAUAGCCCAUUAUUCUGGAUGAAUAUUAGGUCUCUUUCUCUCCCUCUCUUGUUUGUAUAUAUAUAUAUAUAUAUACAUAUGCAUGAUAAAUUUCAUAAGAAAUUGUAUAUUUAUUAGUUUCAGGGAGGUCUUCCAUCAAAUAAUAUUGUAUGGCAAGUGGAUUAGCAGAACACACUUAACUACUACUAAUAUAUAUAUCCUGCCCUUGUUGACUAAUAGGAUUGAUAAUUGGUUAGGUUAUUUGUUUAAGAAUAGAGAAAUGGACUUAAAAAACUUUCGUUGGCCAAUCCUUUUUUGCAUUAUAGUCCAAGUCCAAAACCAGUAUUGACCACAUGCGCUGCCCAUUUUUCUUCACAUAAUCCUAGGAACUAUAUGAUCCCAUUCACCUAGUUACACCUAACCCUUAAGCUGACUUUGAAGAAAGCAACUUUGCAAUUCAUUUGCCUCCGCCAAAUCAAUUUUAAUUGUUCAGUAUUGGUAGUUUGGUAUGUUAUCUGUGGUUGAUUUCGACUAUAUCCAUUCUCCAAAACACAAAUUUUGAAGAGCUGAGUAAGGAGAAUUCCCAAAGUAUAAGAUGAGAGGAGAGCUAUGGAUGAAGAUUCAGAGGGUGCUUUCAAACAAACUCUGGAGAAAACUGGAGCCUGGAGAUCACAUCUACACAUGGAAGGGAGGCAAUACAAAAUCAUAUCAUGGUGAUUUUUUGGCACUUGUCCCAUUUCUUCUUCUAAAGAUACUAUAGUGGUCUUUUUUUUUUCUUUUCAUUUUAAUUUUAUUUUCUUCAUAUGAUUGGAAUUUGGAAUCUGUAUGUAUAGCAUAUAAACACUAUUCAUGGGAUAUUAUUUGCCUGCUUGUAUGAGACCCCAGGGAUAUAUAUUUUCGAUAAGAAGGUGAUCCACUUUAAUUGUCAUGGUGUGGUCUUUUCAUCCAUAGAAGAUUUUCUUUCUUGAGGAGAUGUCUAUCUCUUUGAAUAUGGUGUCAAUCCAGCUCUCUUCCUCACCAAAUUCUGGGAACAUACUUCCACCCUUGCCUCUGCUGAUCCACCUCAAGUUGUUCAGGACUGUACGGCCUUCCUUCUCAACUAUGGCACCUCCAGUGACUAUUACCACUUCAUAAACAAUGAUGAAGACUUUGCAAUGUAUUGCAAAACAGGAUUGCUAGUAGUAGACAGCAUUGUGUUCAGCAGAAGUUGGCAAACAGCAUUUUUCUUGGCUGUUACUACUGCUGUCUCUCUUUCCCUACUGCAACUUGCCCCUGCUACUUUUACUGGUCUGGUAGCUAGAUGUCUCAGCGUUUACUAUGUUUGUAGAUUGGUUUCUGAUAUCGGAGCUUGUCCUAAUGUUAUCAAAAUUGAAGCAGAGAGAUUGCCAGUGGCUGAUGAGAUAUUGGCUUCUGGUGGUUUGGGCCGUAUUGAAUUCUUAAUUGACCUGUUUUUAAGAAUACUAAUGUGUGCUUUUGCCUUUUUUUGUUUGCUAUUAAGAUUUGGUCUCAGACUCUUCCAGUGCUCUGGACUCUAGCAUGCUUCAUACUUUUCUACUGGGCAGUAUUUGGAAAAGCUGCUUUCUAAUAAGAUACAAAAGAAGCAAAUGAAGCCUAAAGAUCACAUCUUCGCAUGGAGGCGGAACUGAAGGGAUAUAUGUGGGUGAUGGAGAAGUGAUUCACCUCAACGAGGAGAAGACCCUAUUGGUGGUGGUGGUUAAUCAACGGAAUGUCGUGUAGAGUCUUGUAGCAUAAAUAGUUUUCUUGAUGGAGGGGAAUUGUAUCUAUAUAAAUAUGGUGUUAAUCUUGCUUUCUUUAUAGCCAAAACUCAAGGGGGUACCUGUACCCUUGCCUCUACCAGUCCAACAGAAGAUGUCCUGCACCGCGCUCAUUUCCUUGGAAAGCAUGAUGGUUUUGGUGCCUACAAACUUUUCAACAACUGUGAAGACUUUGCAAUAUAUUGCAAAGCUGGCUUGCUGGCAAGGAAUGUCAUUGAUCUUGGCACGAACGGGCAGAUAGCAACCCCAUUUGCUGUUAUUUAUGCAAUCCUUCUUUUUCCACGAGGAUUCCCAGCUAGUAAUUUUAUUGUUGUGUCAGCCAUGUGUUAUGUUAUAUACUCCAUCUUGCGAUUUAUUUAUGAUGCCAAAUAUUGUGGGAGUGCUUGUAAAGUUUCUGUUGAGAGAUUGGCCGCACUUUGGAGAGUUGGUAACUUUUGUGAUAGUUGUAUUGAUUCGUUUUGGAAGGAGAUAGAUUUUGAGGUUUUGAGUGAGGAUUAAGAUAAGUAAAUGCGUUAGCUAAAUUUAUGAUUUACAAGA